UACGAAGGGGGCUAGCGUUGCUCGGAAUCACUGGGCGUAAAGGGUGCGUAGGCGGGUCUUUAAGUCAGGGGUGAAAUCCUGGAGCUCAACUCCAGAACUGCCUUUGAUGCUGAAGAUCUUGAGUUCGGGAGAGGUGAGUGGAAUUUCCAGUGUAGAGGUGAAAUUCGUAGAUAUUGGGAAGAACACCAGUGGCGAAGGCGACUUACUGGACACAUAUUGACGCUGAGGUGCGAAAGCGUGGGGAGCAAACAGG
rnacentral:rRNA from 1 species